rnacentral:misc_RNA from 1 species
GAGCCUCGAAGUGAUUUUACUUCUUUAAUGAGUACUUUAACAUCAGCUUUUGAUUUUACUUCAAGUUCUUGAUGUUGUUUCUGCAACUCAUUAAGUUUCUGUUUUGUGGCAUCCAACUCUUGCAAGACUGUGUCUUUCUCCUGACUGGCAUAGUCUUCCAUUGAAGCAUUGCCCAGUUUACCCUUAUGUGAGUUCAAUUGCAGUUCCAUU